rnacentral:rRNA from 1 species
UACGUAGGGUGCGAGCGUUGCCCGGAUUUAUUGGGCGUAAAGGGCGCGUAGGCGGCCACGCACGUCCGUUGUGAAAUCGCCCGGCUCAACUGGGCGGGGUCAGCGGAUACGGUGUGGCUCGAGCAAGCUAGGGGGCAAUGGAAUUCCCGGUGUAGUGGUGGAAUGCGUAGAUAGUCGGGAGGAACACCAGUGGCGAAGGGCGGUUGCC